GGGUCGGUGGCACAGUGGUAGCGCAUGGGAUUGCAGUCAUUCUGAUUAUCCUAAGGUCCCCGGUUCGACCCCGGGUCGGCCCU